rnacentral:lncRNA from 1 species
GAGAUACGUGGGGGGAGGGGUGCCUGGCCCCGGGCAGGAAGCACACCGUCUAACUGCCAAGUCUUCCCUGACACCUUCCCCUGCUGACCCCAAGGCUGCCUGGAGUUUCUGCUUUCCACGCACACCAGCAAAUGACUACGCCGGCUUUUUCAUAAGAGAUGCCUUUCGUCGUUUGGCAGUUUACGCUUAUGUUUGUUUUCCUUCGCACAGCUUUACGGUUGAUAAUGUAUCAUCAGAUAGGAUGUUGGCCCGAGGACAUAUACGGUUUCAGGAACACACAUUUCACAUUUGCCGAAGCACACGGGCCUAGCUUCAGAGCAUCUUAAAAGACUGAUGUUCUGCCAAAUAUGCUGACAUACUUUAGGCAAUACUGGCCUCAUCUCUACCUAACAACCCGCUUGGAUUGAAUUGCCUGCACUGACUGUUACUGGAGUUCGUGAUGGAGGUGAGAAGCCUGUAUGUGUUUUUCUCCCCGUCUCUCCAUCCACGUUGGUCCACACCGCCGAAUCCUGGGGGUUGAGAUUUAGGAACAUCAGACGGGCUGAGGUUUGGACCUUGGCUCAGCCACUUACGACCUCUCUAAUCUUCAAGUCAUUUAACCUCUUUGCCCCUCACUUCCUUCAUCUGUAAAAUGGGGAUAGUCAUAUACCUUCCUCACAGGGC